GGACAUAUGGUGUAACAGGCCCAGCACGCUCGCACAAUAUAUAGUUCGAGCAUCAGAAAGACUAGUACUCUUUAAAUUCUUGCGAGAGGGUCCGGUUCGAGUCCGGAUAUGUCCA